rnacentral:rRNA from 1 species
AACGAACGCUGGCGGCAUGCCUAACACAUGCAAGUCGAACGAAGGCUUCGGACUUAGUGGCGCAUGGGUGUGUAACGCGUGGGAAUCUGCCCUUUGCCUCGGAAUAACAGUUAGAAAUGACUGCUAAUACCGGAUGAUGUCGCCAGACAAAAGAUUGAUCGGCAAAGGAUGAGCCCGCGUGGUAUUAGCUAGUUGGUGGGGUAAGGGCCUAUCAAGGCGACGAUCCUUAGCUGGUUAGUGAGGAAGGUCAGCCACACUGAGACUGAGACACGGCCCAGACUCCUACGGGAGGCAGCAGUGGGGAAUAUUGGACUAUGGGCGAAAGCCUGAUCCACCAAGGCCGCGAGAGUGAUUAAGUCCUGAGGGUUGUAAAGCUCUUUUACCCGGGAUGAUAAUGACAGUACCGAGAGAAUAAGCACCGGCUAACUCCGUG